rnacentral:rRNA from 1 species
UACGUAGGGUGCAAGCGUUGUCCGGAAUUAUUGGGCGUAAAGAGCUCGUAGGCGGUUUGUCGCGUCUGCUGUGAAAACCCAAGGCUCAACCUCGGGCCUGCAGUGGGUACGGGCAGACUAGAGUGCGGUAGGGGAGAUUGGAAUUCCUGGUGUAGCGGUGAAAUGCGCAGAUAUCAGGAGGAACACCGGUGGCGAAAGCGCUCAUCUGGCCCAAUACUGACGCUGAAGCACGAAAGCUAGGGGAGCAAACGGG